rnacentral:lncRNA from 1 species
CUGAUGUGAUUUUAGUUUAUUGUGAAGCGUUAAAGAUUAUUCAGGUUACUGUGGGACAAGUAGGAGAAUUAUUCUUGCAAGUAUUGAAUGAUAUGCCUUUGUUUUAUAAGAGUGUACUGGGUUCACCUCCUGCCUCUCAAUUGUUUGGUGGAAUACCUAAUCCGGAUGAGGAAGUGAGGUUGUGGAACUCUUUUAGAGAUGAUUUGGAAUCGCAAAUGGUAAUCUGUAUUGGGUUCGCCUCCUGCCUCUCAAUUGUUUGGUGGAAUACCUAAUCCGGAUGAGGAAGUAAGGUUGUGGAACUCUUUUAGAGAUGAUUUGGAAUCGCAAAUGGUAAUGUUGGAUAGGGAUUUCGUUUCCAAGGUAUGUUCAGAUUGGCUGAGGAAUUGUGCCAAGGAUAUCAUGAACAAGAUCAAU